rnacentral:rRNA from 1 species
UACGUAGGGUGCAAGCGUUGUCCGGAAUUAUUGGGCGUAAAGCGCGCGCAGGCGGUCCUUUAAGUCUGAUGUGAAAGCCCACGGCUCGACCGUGGAGGGUCAUUGGAAACUGGAGGACUUGAGUGCAGAAGAGAAGAGUGGAAUUCCACGUGUAGCGGUGAAAUGCGUAGAGAUGUGGAGGAACACCAGUGGCGAAGGCGACUCUUUGGUCUGUAACUGACGCUGAGGCGCGAAAGCGUGGGGAGCAAACAGG